rnacentral:lncRNA from 1 species
GUUAAUUUUUGGACAAUCUAAAACUGUCUUUUAAUAGAUUUAGAUUUUUUGAGAUUCGAUUAAAACUUAUUGGUAUGAUUGAUGUUUUAUUCUUAAUUUUCUCACAUUCUGUUAUAUUUGAAUAUGUCUCCAAAGAUAUAUCCUUUCCCUGUGUGCUCUUUUAUGUUUGCUUCUGUUUUUCUUUUUACUCCUUCUUGCCAUCACCCUCCUUUCUCCUUUUCUUUUACUCUUCCUUUCCCCCAUUCUUCCUUCUUGUCAAUAUCAUUAUAUAAUAAUCUUUUUUAGGCUACCAUCUAUUUAUGCCAUUCUAUGGGCAAAAUUGUCAAUAAUAACUUCUACUCCUUUUACUUUUUCUCCCCCAGCAUCCUAUGUUAAGUAUAUUCUUUUACUACCAUUAAUACUGAUUAGUGAUUAGAAAGUCUGUUUAAAUUUUCUUGUUUUUUCUCCUCACCCUCUAGUUUUGAUAGUUAUAUUACAGCUGUGUAAUUAAAGCAAACCACCAUUACAUACCGUGAUAUAUUAUCUUCCUUAUAACCAUCAUGUAGCAUUGAUUUACAGAAUAAUAUAGAUUUAACAUUUAUAACUAUCUUAAUUUUGAUGUCUCUCCAGGCUUUUUUGUUGUGUAAAGUUUACUAUUAUUAUAUUUUCCAGGAAAUACUCAUAGGAGCAAUAAUUUCUGAAUCUUUAUAUAUUCACAAAAUUUGAGUGGUUUAUUUGCUUGCUAUUGAGUGGUUUUACUUCUGUAAAUAUUUUGAUUAUUAAUCUUUUAUCAGAUGUGUGGUUUGCAAAUAUUUUCUUCCACUCCGUAGGUUGUCUCUUCUGAGUCUUAAUAUGUAUUGCACAUGUUCCUAAACCAUUCCAAACUCGCACUCUAAGCAGAAUCAGAUUACACAGCAGAAUACAGAACUUUUCAUAGGUUCAGGCCACAAAUAGUAUUUCUAGUUACAAAAAGCCACUGCUUCUGUAUUGCAAAAGAAAAUAACAGAUUGGCUGCAUAGACUACCAGGUAUGUCUGCUUUACCUUGAUAAUUGAAACCCUGCUGUCAAGCAAAACUAUAUCCUUUGGUGUUACACUGGUUUGGGAUCUGGUCAAUUAAAAUUUGUGUGUUUAAUUCCCUUAACAUACACCUGCAAUAUCAUGAAGGCUACACAGGUGUAACUUCGGAAGUUUGAUUGAUAUUUGCAGGUCACCUCUCAAAGCUCAGUUAAAGCAUUUCAGGCCGGGCGCGGUGGCUCACGCCUGUAAUCCCAGCACUUUGGGAGGCCGAGGCGGGCAGAUCACGAGGUCAGGAGAUUGAGACCAUCCUGGCUAACACGGUGAAACCCCGUCUCUACUAAAAAUACAUAAAAAGUGAGCCGGGCGUGGUGGCGGGCGCCCGUAGUCCCAGCUACUCGGGAGGCUGAGGCAGGAGGAUGGCGUGAACUCCGGAGGCGGAGCUUGCAGUAAGCCGAGAUCACGCCACUGCACCUCAGCCUGGGCGAGAGAGCAAGACUCCAAAUCAAAAAAAAAAAAAAAAAAGCAUUUCAAAUUAGACAUUUUUUUGCACUCCCGACUGCCUCUUUCAGUCUGAAGAAGAACAACGUGCACAGGAGUUAGAAUGAUUUUUACAAAGGACGCCAGUAGUGUUGUGGAUUGGGGAGGAAAGUGAACAGUAGAGAAACAAAACCAAAAAAAUGAUUUGUUACCAUUUAAAAAUGCUGCUGGAUUUGCCAUCAGAGUUGCAGUGCAGCUUCAUAUACGCAAACACAAGCCUCUUUUAAGAAGAAUCUUUGUGUCUGAACAGAAAGUAUUUUGUCUUCGCAGGCAGGAAAACUAAUGCAGGGCUUACCCAGAGAUAUGUUUUUCACCAUGUGGCCAGGACAAUAAACAUGGGGCUUUUGAUCUGUGUGGCAAUAGUGGCUGAGCUGGAGUUCUAAAAAGAGAAAAAUGGGAAACAAAUCUGCCAGGGGUGAGUGUGUGCCCUUGGGGUACUUUUGCAUGUCUAAAGUUCACCAAGGAAAGCAAGAGAGAUUUCAAAUAAACAUGUCUAAAGGGGUCAUAAAGAACUUAACCAGUGUGAUUGCUUAAAUCUCAAUGUCAAAACACAGAAAUGCAUGGCCUACAUCACAUGAAACUUCUUUGGCCCCAGGUUUAUAAAUUAAACCUCUUUCAAACUCCUGUUUUUACAAACAUAAAUUUAUAAAUGCCUUUCCUCCUUACCACCAUCUUCAAACUAUGAAUAACAGCAAAAUUUUCUGUUACUGCAGGUGAAAUAGUUUUGUAACUAACAUGGGGGCAACAAGGAUACUCAUAAUGAAUCUUUUCUAAUUUUCACGAGGACACAAUUGUACACCAUUGUCAUAAUAUCGGUGUCCUUUUAACUUGUUCUUUAAAAGGUUAUCCAAGAAAUCAUUGCAAUCUAUUAUGUUACAUACUACCUUCAUUUUCAAAUCAAAAUGCCAAAGUGAAGCACAGUUUAUUUCAGCAAUGUUGAAAUAGAGUGCUGUUAUUAGAAAAUGUGAGUGGGUUGAAGUGGGACUCCCUGCGAAGUUAACUUGGCAGAGUUAGAGUUCCUGGCUCAACCUAAUAUUAAAAGUGAGUCAUCAGUUUACCCUCACAGCAGGGUCUUCACUUUGUACUUCUCAAUCUGAGCGACUCAACAGUGGGGCCAAAUAUUCAAGGUUAGUUUCUAUAAUUAGUAAUCAAGUGAAGAAAAUCCCUUGAGAUUUUAUUAUUCAUAAAUUCCUAAAUAUUACUGUCUAAUAAAUAAUAUGACAAAUAAGAAUCUACCUCAUAGAAACUUAGUUUGCACAUUCAGUACGACUUAUCUCUAGUAGAGGCCAAAGUUGUCUCUGUUCACAUGAAAGAGUUUUUACCCUUUAUGUCCAUUAAGAUAAAUUUGAAAUGCAACAGUUUCAUGCAUUUCUGCUCCUAUGUAAGCCAACAUUUUUGGAAGAAAAAAUUCAGUAAUUAUUGUGUGCUCAUAUAAAGAUACAUAUUAGAACUAUCAUGACUUUGUAAUACUUCUGGUUUUAAUAAAGAACAAAGAAAAAAUGUUUUAAAGAUUAUUUUCUUACUUUAAGAAUUUGAGUGCAAUUUACUUUACCUUUUAUUUAAUACACUAAAUGUAAGAGAUACAGCAUGGUAUUUAAUCCAAACUCAGUAAAUACUUAUUUUUCAAUAUAGCCUUAAAAUGUCUUGGUAAAACAACGUAUUUCCUACUCCUUACCAGAGCAUGCCUAUUCAAAAGUGAAAUAACAUGUAUUAUCUUAAAAAAUAUAUAACAUUGACAAUUUUUAAAAGGUUAGUAUAAGUUCCCUGGUAGCAUUUUAAAAAGAUCGUGCAUUUUAAGUUUUUGUUCACACAUUAUGUAUACCUAUAAUCUCCCAUAGCCAUACACAUGUAUAUUUGAAACAUACUUUCUUAGAAUAGCAGAGAAAACCCUUCAUAAGUUAGACCUCAUCUGAAUUUCCAGCAUGGCCCAAAUGAUUUGCAGUCAUGAACUCCAGCUACAGAAAUCUAAUCUGCAACAGGCUUUCUCAGGCUUUGCAUCUGUGCACACACUGGCUCACCUUCCAGGACUACCUUCAUCACUCUUCUACCUGGGACCCUGAUACGUAUCUUUAAAACCCUGUUCAAGUAUUAUCAUGACGCUUUUUGGAUCCAUUAACACAUAUUAUAAUAUUAAUUACAAUGUGUUUUAAUUAGUUGCUAAAACUUUUUUUUUUUUUUUUUUUUUUUUUUUGAGACGGAGUCUCCCCCUGUUGCCCAGGCUGGAGUGCAGUGGCGCGAUCUCGGCUCACUGCAAGCUCCGCCUCCCGGGUUCACGCCAUUCUCCUACCUCAACCUCCUGAGUAGCUGGGACUACAGGCGCCCGCCACCACGCCCGGCUAAUUUUUUGUAUUUUUAGUAGAGACGGGGUUUCACCGUGUUAGCCAGGAUGCUCUCGAUCUCCUGACCUCCUGAUCCGCCCGCCUCGGCCUCCCAAAGUGCUGGGAUUAUGCGUCCGGCGAGUUGCUAAAACUUCUGCCUCCAGCACACUACUUCUAGAAUAAAUGGCUUCAAUAUGUCCUUGUCUCUGUCCAUUCUAUUUCCUGCCCUUCACCAUUAAGAAACACUGAAUAUCCCAUAAGAGAUGUUCCAUGCUGGUACAUGGGGACAGUAAGCUUAUACAUCACUCAGUUUCCUGUGAGACAUCUCGCAGUGCUUCAUUUUGCACUCCACCUAUUCCUUGCUAUCUAACUGAACAUCUCAUAUGAUCCCCUACCAACUUUUUAAAUUCCCACCAUCAAAAAAAAAAAAUCCUAUUGGCCCUUUUAUGGAGACUGCGUUAAAUAUAUAAAUUUUAAGUGGAACCUGAUAUCUUUACUUGGUAACACUUGUCAAUCAGUAAGUUCUGUUUCCGUUCAUUCUAGUCUUCCUAGAAUUUCAUUAAAGUUUUGAAGUUUCUUCAUAUAGGGCCUAUGUAUUUCUUGUUAAAAUUAUUCCUAGUUAUUUUAUAUUUUUAUUUUCAUUUUGAAUUGUAUCUUGUUAGCUUUAUAUUUUUAGUCAAGUUUUGGCAGUUGAUGGUUGAAUGUUGAGUAUUUUAACUUAUAUGUAAUUUUUAUUAGUUCUGACAGAUUGUUAGCUUAUUUGAUUGCAUUAUCUAAGUAGACAACCCUAUACAUCACGAUGAUUUUGUGUACUCUUUUUCUAUAUGUAUGCCUCUUUUUGUCUGCUAUAUUGUAUUACUUAUAAAUUCUAAUACUAUUAAAAUUAGGUUUGAUAUUAAAUGGCCUAAACUUUUAAUAUGUUUUUAUUUGGAAUUUAUAUUUUCG